CAAUUCUGAGAAUAAAAAAAAGUCGAGCUCUUGAAGAAACUAAACGAAGGUUCUUGGGAGAUGGUUUAGAUUCCUCCUCGAUCUCUUGAUGAACUGCAACAGAUAGAAGGUCAGUUGGAGAAAAGUUUAUGCAUCAUUAGGUCAAGAAAGGUACAUUUUGCAAUAGGCAUCUCUAAAAUGAUUUGAUCAGAAUGUAGAAUUUGAUGGUCAAAAAUCGAAUGUCCAAUUCUCCUGCAGAGCCUAUUGUUUUGAGAGCGCAUUCAUCAGUUGAAACAAGAGGAGAAAAUUCCCAAGAAGGAAAAUACGGAAUUGCAGGAAAAGGUAAUUUUGGGGAAAUAACGCUUGGAAGAUGAGGAGUAUCUAUUAUCGGAUGAAAGAAAGUUGUGUAUGGCUAAGUGUUUUUUGAUCAUUAAAGCCUAUUGGCCUACUGCGUUAUUUUGUGGAAUUACCAUUCAAAUGAUCAAAAUGUGGCAGCGUUAAAAUUUGUGCUUCUUUUUUUUUCCCCCAUCAUACAAUGAAGGACGCAAUGUUUUAUAAAGAAAAAUAAACAUAAAUGAAUACAUAAAUACAAGUUUAGGAGGGACAUUGGUAGAGGUUUCAA